rnacentral:rRNA from 1 species
CUCAAAUUUGAAAUCUGGCGUCCUCAGGGCGUCCGAGUUGUAAUCUAUAGAGGCGUUUUCCGUGCCGGACCGUGUCCAAGUUCCUUGGAACAGGAUAUCAAAGAGGGUGACAAUCCCGUACUUGACACGACGACCGGUGCUCUGUGAUACGUCUUCUACGAGUCGAGUUGUUUGGGAAUGCAGCUCAAAAUGGGUGGUGAGUUCCAUCUAAAGCUAAAUAUUGGCGAGAGACCGAUAGCGAACAAGUACCGUGAGGGAAAGAUGAAAAGCACUUUGGAAAGAGAGUUAAACAGUACGUGAAAUUGUUGAAAGGGAAACGAUUGAAGUCAGUCGUGACCGAGAGGCUCAGCCGGUUCUGCCGGUGUAUUCCCCUCGGUCGGGUCAACAUCAGUUUUGUCCGGUGGAUAAGGGCGGUAGGAAGGUGGCACCCUCGGGUGUGUUAUAGCCUGCCGUCGCAUACAUCGGGUGAGACUGAGGAACGCAGCUCGCCUUUAUGGCCGGGGUUCGCCCACGUCCGAGCUUAGGAUGUUGACAUAAUGGCUUUAAACGACCCGUCUUGA